GCGGCUGUGGCGGAACUGGCAGACGCGCAAGGUUCAGGUCCUUGUGACCGUUAAGGUCGUGCAGGUUCGACUCCUGUCAGCCGCA
rnacentral:tRNA from 1 species